GAUGAACGCUGGCGGCGUGCCUAAUACAUGCAAGUCGAGCGAACAGAUGAUGAGCUUGCUCCUCGGACGUUAGCGGCGGACGUGUGAGUAACACGUGUAUAACCUACCUAUAAGACUGGUAUAACUUCGGGAAACCGGAUCUAAUACCGGAUAAGAUAUUGAACCGCAUGGGUCAAUAGUAAAAGACGGUGUUGCGGUCUCUUAUAGAUGCAUCCGGGCCGCAUGAGCUAGUUGGUAAGUUAACGGCUUACCAAGGCAACGAUGCGUAGCCGACCUGAGAGGGUGAUCGGCCACACUGGAACGGGGACACGGUCAAGACUACUACGGGACGGAGCAGUAGGGAAUCUUACGCAAUGGUCGAAAGCCUGACGGAGCAACGCCGAGUGAGUGAUGACGGUCUUCGGAUCGUAAAACUCUGUUAUUAGGGAAGAACAAAUGUGUAAGUAACUAUGCACGUCUUGACGGUACCUAAUCAGAAAGCCACGGCUAACUACGUG
rnacentral:rRNA from 1 species